rnacentral:rRNA from 1 species
CCUACGGGUGGCAGCAGUAGGGAAUAUUGCUCAAUGGGGGAAACCCUGAAGCAGCAACGCCGCGUGGAGGAUGAAGGUUUUAGGAGUGUAAACUCCUUUUGGUAGAGAAGAGAAUGACGGUAUGUAACGAAUAAGGACCGGCUAACACCGUGACACCAGCCGCGGUAAAACGGAGGGUGCCAGCGUUACUCGGAAUCACUGGGCGGUAAGAGCGCGUAGGAGGGAUAGCAAGUCAGAUGUGAAUUCCUAUGGCUUAACCAUAGAACUGCAUUUGAAACUGUUAUUCUAGAGUAUGGGCGAGGUAGGUGGAUUUCUUGGUGUAGCGGUCAAAUCCGUCGAGAUCACG